UGGGGAAUAUUGCACAAUGGGCGCAAGCCUGAUGCAGCCAUGCCGCGUGUAUGAAGAAGGCCUUCGGGUUGUAAAGUACUUUCAGCGGGGAGGAAGGGAGUAAAGUUAAUACCUUUGCUCAUUGACGUUACCCGCAGAAGAAGCACCGGCUAACCCCGUGCCAGCAGCCGCGGUAAUACGGAGGGUGCAAGCGUUAAUCGGAAUUACUGGGCGUAAAGCGCACGCAGGCGGUUUGUUAAGUCAGAUGUGAAAUCCCCGGGCUCAACCUGGGAACUGCAUCUGAUACUGGCAAGCUUGAAUCUCGUAGAGGGGAGUAGAAUUCCAGGUGUAGCGGUGAAAAGCGUAGAGAUCUGGAGGAAUACCGGUGGCGAAGGCAGCCCCCUGGACGAAGACUGACGCUCAGGUGCGAAAACGUGGGGAGCAAACAGG
rnacentral:rRNA from 1 species